AAAUUGAAGAGUUUGAUCAUGGCUCAGAUUGAACGCUGGCGGCAGGCCUAACACAUGCAAGUCGAACGGUAACAGGAAGCAGCUUGCUGCUUCGCUGACGAGUGGCGGACGGGUGAGUAAUGUCUGGGAAACUGCCUGAUGGAGGGGGAUAACUACUGGAAACGGUGGCUAAUACCGCAUAACGUCGCAAGACCAAAGAGGGGGACCUUCGGGCCUCUUGCCAUCAGAUGUGCCCAGAUGGGAUUAGCUUGUUGGUGAGGUAACGGCUCACCAAGGCGACGAUCCCUAGCUGGUCUGAGAGGAUGACCAGCCACACUGGAACUGAGACACGGUCCAGACUCCUACGGGAGGCAGCAGUGGGGAAUAUUGCACAAUGGGCGCAAGCCUGAUGCAGCCAUGCCGCGUGUAUGAAGAAGGCCUUCGGGUUGUAAAGUACUUUCAGCGGGGAGGAAGGUGUUGUGGUUAAUAACCACAGCAAUUGACGUUACCCGCAGAAGAAGCACCGGCUAACUCCGUGCCAGCAGCCGCGGUAAUACGGAGGGUGCAAGCGUUAAUCGGAAUUACUGGGCGUAAAGCGCACGCAGGCGGUCUGUCAAGUCGGAUGUGAAAUCCCCGGGCUCAACCUGGGAACUGCAUUCGAAACUGGCAGGCUUGAGUCUUGUAGAGGGGGGUAGAAUUCCAGGUGUAGCGGUGAAAUGCGUAGAGAUCUGGAGGAAUACCGGUGGCGAAGGCGGCCCCCUGGACAAAGACUGACGCUCAGGUGCGAAAGCGUGGGGAGCAAACAGGAUUAGAUACCCUGGUAGUCCACGCCGUAAACGAUGUCUACUUGGAGGUUGUGCCCUUGAGGCGUGGCUUCCGAAGCUAACGCGUUAAGUAGACCGCCUGGGGAGUACGGCCGCAAGGUUAAAACUCAAAUGAAUUGACGGGGGCCCGCACAAGCGGUGGAGCAUGUGGUUUAAUUCGAUGCAACGCGAAGAACCUUACCUGGUCUUGACAUCCACAGAACUUUCCAGAGAUGGAUUGGUGCCUUCGGGAACUGUGAGACAGGUGCUGCAUGGCUGUCGUCAGCUCGUGUUGUGAAAUGUUGGGUUAAGUCCCGCAACGAGCGCAACCCUUAUCCUUU
rnacentral:rRNA from 1 species